UACGUAGGGGGCUAGCGUUGUCCGGAAUCAUUGGGCGUAAAGCGCGCGUAGGCGGCCCGGUAAGUCCGCUGUGAAAGUCGGGGGCUCAACCCUCGAAUGCCGGUGGAUACUGUCGGGCUUGAGUACGGAAGAGGCGAGUGGAAUUCCUGGUGUAGCGGUGAAAUGCGCAGAUAUCAGGAGGAACACCAAUUGCGAAGGCAGCUCGCUGGGACGUUACUGACGCUGAGACGCGAAAGCGUGGGGAGCAAACAGG
rnacentral:rRNA from 1 species